rnacentral:misc_RNA from 1 species
GUCCUAUUUAUAUCCUGCAUCAUUCCCCAUUUUUUUAUACAUUUUCUUUUAAGAUCUUGUGGGUAUUUAAUUUAGUUGUUUUUCUUAUGGUGGGUAUGUGAAUUCUGUUGGGAUUUGUUUAAAAAUUCUUGAAUUUGGACCAUUCAGGGUGAAUCUGAUAAUGGGUAGCCUUUUGGAGAAUAAAUUUGCAGAAUUAUGCAAAUUCAAGGAGGAAUGGAUUCUACAGAUGCUUUGAUAUUGGGAAAGUAAUCAAUCAAGUAAAACACGAAAUUAGGGGAGGCUCAAAAUGCCAGCUGAGGAGGAAGCUCAAGCUAUUGAGAGAAGGAAUGUGUUAGUUGGGAUAAGAAUUGAUAACCAUAGCAGAGAACUGCUGAACUGGGCUCUUGUGAAAGUUGCUGAACCUGGAGACUGUGUUAUUGCAAUUCAUGUUUGUCGAAGUUCCAGAGGUGCUUUGAAAGACAAGCCCUUGUUGGAUAGUUAUUUAGAAGUGUAUGAUGGCUUAUGUUCUCUAAAGAAGGUGGAUCUUAUCGGUCAGGUAUGCACAGGAAUUUCAGUUCAAAGGACUCUGGUAAGAGAGGCAAAGAUCCAUGAUGCUGUGGCUGUAGUUGUGGGGAUCAGCAAACAAAGUGCUCUAGGGGGUUGGACUUCCACUGCUGGAUAUUGUGCUAAGCGACUGCCUCCAACCACUGAUGUUUUGGCUAUCCACAACGGAAAAAUCUUGUUUGGAAGGUGCAACAAUAAUCAACUACCAGGCUUCCGCGGAGAUCCAAAACCAAGUCUAAAUCUACAUGAAAGUCCCUUGUCAGAUGAUGUCCGGUCAGAAUUUGGAGAUUCUGAGGUAGAUACUGUAACAUCUAGCAUUGAAGUUCUAACAAGAUGUGGGAGCGAAGACUCAAAGGAUGAAGUUCCAAGCCUUCCACAUGAACUCAAGAAGAGACCAACUGCUCAUUAUACAGGAGAUAUUUUGGAUCAGAGGCCUGGUUGGCCACUGCUUCGGAGAGCAAGUUCAGCUAGUCCGGAGAACCUGCAGGCAAGGGAAUUGUCUGUAGUGCAAUGGGCAAUGAGCUUACCAAUUCGUUGGCCACAUAAAAAUCCUCUAGGUUCAAGAAUAGAUAGAUCACCAGAAGGGCAGACAAGUGACUUCUUGGAAGAGAGCAAUAGGAUUAGUUCUUAUGGAUCAGGGGAAGUGCAUUAUAGCUUGGAGAUUCUGCUGAAAACAAAAUUUUCUGGUUGCAAGUGGUUCAAUCAUGAGGUUCUGAAAACUGCAACUUCAAAUUUUUACUCAGGAAACUUAAUUGGGAAAGGAGAAUGUAACCGCGUGUACAAAGGAAUUCUUCCAGAUGGCAAGCGAGUGGCAGUAAAGAUUCGUAGGUCGUCCCCAGAAGCAAGGAAAGAUUUUGCUCAAGAAGUUGAAAUAAUCUCCUCAUUAAACCACAAGAACAUUAUAAGUCUCUUGGGGGUUUGCAUCAGAGACACUGAUCUCAUUUCUGUUUAUGAUUUGUUCUCUAAGGGAAGCGUAGAGGAAAAUCUACAAGGUAAAGCUUCAUUACAUUUUUAUUCUCCAUUUGAUGAAACUUUACAGAAACAAUGCUGAGGUGAAAAUUCAUAUCAAAUGUUUAGGUAAUAACAAAGACAAAUCUGCAUUAACAUGGGAAAUGAAGUCUAAAAUUGCUAUCAAAAUUGCUGAAGCCUUAACUUACAUACACAGCGAAUGUUUACCGCCUGUUAUUCAUAGAGAUAUCAAAUCUUCGAACAUUCUUCUUUCAGAUGAGUUUGAACCGCAGGUAUUCCACCAGACCAAAAUGUUCUCCAAACUCUUAUGACUGUUACAUGAUUCUAACAUUAAUUAUUAUUGUUCUAUGAGAUAGUUAUCUGAUUUUGGGCUUGCAAUAUGGGGGCCAACAACUUCAUCUUUUAUUACGCAAUGCGAUGUAGUUGGAACAUUUGGAUAUCUUGCUCCUGAAUAUUUCAUGUAUGGGAAAGUCAGUGACAAGAUUGAUGUGUAUGCUUUUGGUGUCAUUCUACUAGAGUUGUUAUCAGGACGAAGACCAAUUGGUUAUGAGACUUCUAAGGACCAGGAGAGCUUGGUGAUGUGGGUAAGAGUCUUCUGCAUAAUUAGAAUGUUCACUUCUGUUAAUUAGUUUCAUCUCUAACAUUGAGUUCUGUUGAUUCAGGCAAAACCAAUAAUAGAUUGUGGAAAUGCAAGAGACAUAAUAGAUCCAAAUUUAGAUGAAUACUUUGAUGAGCCUCAGAUGCAAAGAAUGGUUCUUGCAGCCAAACUGUGCAUCACAAGAUCAGCUAGGCUACGUCCUAAAAUGAUUCAUGUAUUACAUUUCAGUCUAAAUUUUGAUUAAAAAAAAAUUAUGUUCCUUGGUUGCACUAUUAGAUAGGUAAUAUUUUCCCUUUCUUUUCCCCAGGUUUUGAAGCUCCUAAAAGGGGAUAAAGAUGCAGUGAAGUGGGCGAACAUUCAAAAUGAGUAUCUAAAGGAUAUUGAAAACCAAGAGGAAAAUGAUGAUGAAGUUUAUCCAAAUUCUAGUGCAGAGUUACAUUUGAAUCUUGCAUUGCUUGAUUUGGACGAUGAUUCUAUAUCAUCUAGUAGUUUCGAACAAGGGAAUAAUAAUCUUUCUAUGGAGGAAUACUUGAAAGAAAGGUGGAGCCGAUCGUCAAGAUUCAACUAGUUUUGUUUUAAUACUCUCUUUUACUGCUUGUUUCACAGCCAAAUUUUCCACAAGCUUGCAGAACAUGUAGCUUGUGACUGUACAGUAGAGGGAAAAAAAAAUGCAUGUACCCCAUGGUGAGGUUUUUUUUUUGUAGAUGUAGAAUUGUUGCUAGCAUGUUCAAUGUGAUGAUGAAUAAAUCAGGAUCCAAGCCAAUUAGGAAAUCUUUUCUGUAACACAUCCUACUGUGGAAAUAAAUCAGAAAGGAAAGAACAGUACGAGACUCUGUAACAACACAGACAUUUCCUUAAUAAGAACGUUCCGAUGAGGCUGCAGCAGUAUCACCCUGCAGCAAUCUUUCAAAUAUGUACAGAGUACUCCAGAAUUUCUGCUUAUAUGACAGCCAUUGGGCUAAAAUAAU